rnacentral:lncRNA from 1 species
GUAGAUGACAUUUUUUGUUCUAGAAAAAUUACUCUUGAUUUUUUUUUUUUUUUUGAAAGAUACUUAGCUGAAAAUGUGAAUCAACUUAGAUUUGAAUUUGAGAUCUCGAAUACUAAUCAUCAGGUGUUUUGACACUUACUCUAGGGACGGAUCCGUAAGAAGUUAAAAAAAAUUAGAGAGAGGAAUAGAAAGAUGGGUUAUUUACAUACACGUCUCUAUAAACAUAGUGAAUUGCAGAAAUAUUCCUGCAAAACAGAAACUCCAUAAGUUGUUCCUGCAAAAGUCUAAAGUUAUGCAGAUAUGUCCCUGCCGUUAAGGACGGUUAGAAAAUUUUCGCUAACCACGGUUAAAAUACUUAACUAUGGUUAAUUAUAACGUGAAUUUACGGUUCUACCCUUCUUCUUCUUCUUCCUCCUCUUCUUUUUCCCUCUUC